rnacentral:rRNA from 1 species
CCUAAGGUAGCGAAAUUCCUUGUCAGGUAAGUUCUGACCCGCACGAAAGGCGUAACGAUUUGGGCGCUGUCUCAGCUGUAGACUCGGUGAAGUCUUAGUACCUGUGAAGAUGCAGGUUACCCGCGACUAGACGGAAAGACCCCAUGGAGCUUCACUGCAGGUUGAUAUUGGGAUUUGAUGCAGCAUGUACAGGAUAGGUAGGAGGCAAAGAGAUGGAUACGCCAGUAUUCAAGGAGCCGCUGUUGGGAUACUACCCCUGUUGUAUUGGAUUUCUAACCGGACGACGUAAAGCCGUUGACGGGACAGUGUCAGUCGGGCAGUUUGACUGGGGCGGUCGCCUCCCAAAGAGUAACGGAGGCGCCCAAAGAUACCCUCAGCUUGGAUGGAAACCAAGCGCAGAGUGCAAAGGCAAAAGGGUGUUUGACUGCGAGACCUACAAGUCGAGCAGGGACGAAAGUCGGGCUUAGUGAUCCGGCGGUGCUGAAUGGAAAGGCCGUCGCUCAACGGAUAAAAGCUACCCUGGGGAUAACAGGCUGAUCUCCCCCAAGAGUUCACAUCGACGGGGAGGUUUGGCACCUCGAUGUCGGCUCAUCGCAUCCUGGAGCUGAAGUCGGUUCCAAGGGUUGGGCUGUUCGCCCAUUAAAGCGGUACGCGAGCUGGGUUCAGAACGUCGUGAGACAGUUCGGUCCCUAUCUGUCGUGGGCGCAGGAAAUUUGAGAAGAGCUGUCCUCAGUACGAGAGGACCGGGAUGGACGCAUCAAUGGUGGACCAGUUGUCACGCCAGUGGCAUAGCUGGGUAGCUAAAUGCGGAAGGGAUAAACGCUGAAGGCAUCUAAGUGUGAAACCCACUUCAAGAUGAGAUUUCCCAUUGCGCAAGCAAGUAAGACCCCUUAAAGACGAUAAGGUAGAUAGGUCAGGAGUGUAAGCAUGGUGACAUGUUAAGCGGACUGAUACUAAUAGGUCGAGGGCUUGACCGA